rnacentral:rRNA from 1 species
AGUGAACGCUGGCGGUAGGCCUAACACAUGCAAGUCGAACGGCAGCACAGUAAGAGCUUGCUCUUACGGGUGGCGAGUGGCGGACGGGUGAGGAAUACAUCGGAAUCUACUUUUUCGUGGGGGAUAACGUAGGGAAACUUACGCUAAUACCGCAUACGACCUACGGGUGAAAGCAGGGGAUCUUCGGACCUUGCGCGAUUGAAUGAGCCGAUGUCGGAUUAGCUAGUUGGCGGGGUAAAGGCCCACCAAGGCGACGAUCCGUAGCUGGUCUGAGAGGAUGAUCAGCCACACUGGAACUGAGACACGGUCCAGACGCCUACGGGAGGCAGCAGUGGGGAAUAUUGGACAAUGGGAGCAAGCCUGAUCCAGCCAUACCGCGUGGGUGAAGAAGGCCUUCGGGUUGUAAAGCCCUUUUGUUGGGAAAGAAAAGCAGCAGGUUAAUACCCCGCUGUUCUGACGGUACCCAAAGAAUAAGCACCGGCUAACUUCGU